GCGGGUUUAGCUCAGUUGGGAGAGCGUCAGACUGAAGUCAAACUUCAUCUCGACAAUUAGUCAAUCUGAAGGUCGUGUGUUCGAUCCACACAAACCGCA
rnacentral:tRNA from 1 species